rnacentral:rRNA from 1 species
UACGGAGGAUGCGAGCGUUAUCCGGAUUUAUUGGGUUUAAAGGGUGCGUAGGCGGAUUUUUAAGUCAGCGGUAAAAUGUCCGGGCUCAACCCGGGCCGGCCGUUGAAACUGGCGGGCUGGAGUUGGAGAGAAGUACGCGGAAUGCGCGGUGUAGCGGUGAAAUGCUUAGAUAUCGCGCAGAACCCCGAUUGCGAAGGCAGCAUACCGGUGCACAACUGACGCUCAGGCACGAAAGCGUGGGUAUCGAACAGG